GCUAAUACCGCAUAAGACCACGUCCUCGAGGGGUUGUGGGAAAAGGUGGGGAUCUUCGGACCUAUCACCUGGAGAUGAGCCCGCGUGCCAUUAGGUAGUUGGCGGGGUAAUGGCCCACCAAGCCGAAGAUGGCUAGCUGGUCUGAGAGGAUGAUCAGCCACACUGGAACUGAGACACGGUCCAGACUCCUACGGGAGGCAGCAGUGGGGAAUAUUGCGCAAUGGGGAAACCCUGACGCAGCAACGCCGCGUGUGUGAUGAAGGCCUUCGGGUCGUAAAGCACUGUGAGGUGGAACGAGCCGCCGGGGGCUAAUACCCUUCGGCCCGACGGUACCACCAGAGGAAGCACCGGCUAACCCUGUGCCAGCAGCCGCGGUAAUACAGGGGGUGCAAGCGUUGUUCGGAAUUAUUGGGCGUAAAGCGCGUGUAGGCGGACCAUUAAGUCUGGUGUGAAAUCCCUCGGCUUAACCGAGGACGUGCAUUGGAUACUGGUGGUCUUGAGUCCUGGAGAGGGU
rnacentral:rRNA from 1 species